rnacentral:rRNA from 1 species
GACGAAGGGGGCUAGCGUUGCUCGGAAUCACUGGGCGUAAAGCGCACGUAGGCGGACUCUUAAGUCGGUGGUGAAAUCCUGGAGCUCAACUCCAGAACUGCCUUCGAUACUGGGAGUCUUGAGUUCGGGAGAGGUGAGUGGAACUGCGAGUGUAGAGGUGAAAUUCGUAGAUAUUCGGAGGAACACCAGUGGCGAAGGCGGCUCACUGGCUCGACACUGACGCUGGAGGUGCGAAAGCGUGGGGAGCAAACAGG